rnacentral:lncRNA from 1 species
CAUAGCAUUGUGUGAAUGGGAAACCCCUUCUCCCCUAUAGUUUAGAUCAUGAAUCAUACUAAAAAAUUAUUACUAUUUUGAUCGUUGCAUUUAAAUUUGGGCCAGUGGAUUUUUUUUAUACUUUUGGAAUCAUAGAGAUUAAAUAUGGUUUUUUGAUUUAGGGUAGUCAUUCCGUUUGUAUUAAAAACAUAUUUGACAUCAUACUAGCUUUUGG